rnacentral:rRNA from 1 species
AGGAUAAACGCUGGCGGCGUGCAUGAGACAUGCAAGUCGAACGGACGAUCGAGGCUUGCUUCGAUCGUUAGUGGCGGACGGCUGAGUAACGCGUAGGUGACCUGCCCCGAAGUGGGGAAUAACUGCCCGAAAGGGUGGCUAAUACCGCAUGUGGUGGUGUGUUCGAUCACACCAGUAAAGCCGCAAGGCGCUUCAGGAGGGGCCUGCGUCCGAUUAGCUCGUUGGUGGGGUAACGGCUCACCAAGGCGACGAUCGGUAGGUGGUCUGAGAGGACGAUCACCCAGACUGGGACUGAGACACGGCCCAGACUCCUACGGGAGGCAGCAGUCGGGAAUUUUGCGCAAUGGACGAAAGUCUGACGCAGCAACGCCGCGUGAGGGAUGACGGCCUUCGGGUUGUAAACCUCUUUUAUCAGGGAAGAUUAUGACGGUACCUGAUGAAUAAGUCACGGCUAACUACGUGCCAGCAGCCGC